rnacentral:rRNA from 1 species
GGUUAAGCGAACAAGCGUACACGGUGGAUGCCCUGGCAGUCAGAGGCGAUGAAGGACGUGCUAAUCUGCGAAAAGCGCCGGUAAGGUGAUAUGAACCGUUAUAACCGGCGAUGUCCGAAUGGGGAAACCCGGUGCACUUCGGUGCAUCAUCGUUAGCUGAAUACAUAGGCUAACGAGGCGAACCGGGGGAACUGAAACAUCUAAGUACCCCGAGGAAAAGAAAUCAACCGAGAUUCCCCCAGUAGCGGCGAGCGAACGGGGAACAGCCCAGAGCCUGAAUCAGCUUGUGUGUCAGUGGAACGGUCUGGAAAGGCCGGCGAUACAGGGUGACAGCCCCGUACACGAAGGCACACAGGCUGUGAGCUCGAUGAGUAGGGCGGGACACGUGAUAUCCUGUCUGAAGAUGGGGGGACCAUCCUCCAAGGCUAAAUACUCCUGACUGACCGAUAGUGAACCAGUACCGUGAGGGAAAGGCGAAAAGAACCCCGGCGAGGGGAGUGAAACAGAACCUGAAACCGUGUACGUACAAGCAGUGGGAGCCUUCGUAAGAGGGUGACUGCGUACCUUUUGUAUAAUGGGUCAGCGACUUAUAUUCUGUAGCAAGGUUAACCGUAUAGGGGAGCCGAAGGGAAACCGAGUCUUAACCGGGCGUUAAGUUGCAGGGUAUAGACCCGAAACCCGGUGAUCUAGCCAUGGGCAGGUUGAAGGUUGGGUAACACUAACUGGAGGACCGAACCGACUAAUGUUGAAAAAUUAGCGGAUGACCUGUGGCUGGGGGUGAAAGGCCAAUCAAACCGGGAGAUAGCUGGUUCUCCCCGAAAGCUAUUUAGGUAGCGCCUCGUGAACUCAUCUCCGGGGGUAGAGCACUGUUUCGGCUAGGGGGCCAUCCCGGCUUACCAACCCGAUGCAAACUGCGAAUACCGGAGAAUGUUAUCACGGGAGACACACGGCGGGUGCUAACGUCCGUCGUGAAGAGGAAAAACAACCCAGACCGCCAGCUAAGGUCCCAAAGUCAUGGUUAAGUGGGAAACGAUGUGGGAAGGCCCAGACAGCCAGGAUGUUGGCUUAGAAGCAGCCAUCAUUUAAAGAAAGCGUAAUAGCUCACUGGUCGAGUCGGCCUGCGCGGAAGAUGUAACGGGGCUAAACCAUGCACCGAAGCUGCGGCAGCGACGCUUAUGCGUUGUUGGGUAGGGGAGCGUUCUGUAAGCCUGUGAAGGUGUGCUGUGAGGCAUGCUGGAGGUAUCAGAAGUGCGAAUGCUGACAUAAGUAACGAUAAAGCGGGUGAAAAGCCCGCUCGCCGGAAGACCAAGGGUUCCUGUCCAACGUUAAUCGGGGCAGGGUGAGUCGACCCCUAAGGCGAGGCCGAAAGGCGUAGUCGAUGGGAAACAGGUUAAUAUUCCUGUACUUGGUGUUACUGCGAAGGGGGGACGGAGAAGGCUAUGUCGGCCGGGCGACGGUUGUCCCGGUUUAAGCGUGUAGGCUGACUUUCCAGGCAAAUCCGGAAGGUUAAGGCUGAGGCGUGAUGACGAGGCACUACGGUGCUGAAGUGACAAAUGCCCUGCUUCCAGGAAAAGCCUCUAAGCAUCAGGUAACAUCAAAUCGUACCCCAAACCGACACAGGUGGUCAGGUAGAGAAUACCAAGGCGCUUGAGAGAACUCGGGUGAAGGAACUAGGCAAAAUGGUGCCGUAACUUCGGGAGAAGGCACGCUGACAUGUAGGUGAAGCCCCUGCGGGUGGAGCUGAAGUCAGUCGAAGAUACCAGCUGGCUGCAACUGUUUAUUAAAAACACAGCACUGUGCAAACACGAAAGUGGACGUAUACGGUGUGACGCCUGCCCGGUGCCGGAAGGUUAAUUGAUGGGGUUAUCGCAAGAGAAGCUCCUGAUCGAAGCCCCGGUAAACGGCGGCCGUAACUAUAACGGUCCUAAGGUAGCGAAAUUCCUUGUCGGGUAAGUUCCGACCUGCACGAAUGGCGUAAUGAUGGCCAGGCUGUCUCCACCCGAGACUCAGUGAAAUUGAACUCGCUGUGAAGAUGCAGUGUACCCGCGGCAAGACGGAAAGACCCCGUGAACCUUUACUACAGCUUGACACUGAACAUUGAGCCUUGAUGUGUAGGAUAGGUGGGAGGCUUUGAAGCGUGGACGCCAGUCUGCGUGGAGCCAACCUUGAAAUACCACCCUUUAAUGUUUGAUGUUCUAACCUGGCGCCCUGAUCGGGCGUGGGGACAGUGUCUGGUGGGUAGUUUGACUGGGGCGGUCUCCUCCCAAAGUGUAACGGAGGAGCACGAAGGUCAGCUAAUCCUGGUCGGACAUCAGGAGGUUAGUGCAAUGGCAUAAGCUGGCUUGACUGCGAGAGUGACGGCUCGAGCAGGUGCGAAAGCAGGUCAUAGUGAUCCGGUGGUUCUGUAUGGAAGGGCCAUCGCUCAACGGAUAAAAGGUACUCCGGGGAUAACAGGCUGAUACCGCCCAAGAGUUCAUAUCGACGGCGGUGUUUGGCACCUCGAUGUCGGCUCAUCACAUCCUGGGGCUGAAGUAGGUCCCAAGGGUAUGGCUGUUCGCCAUUUAAAGUGGUACGCGAGCUGGGUUUAGAACGUCGUGAGACAGUUCGGUCCCUAUCUGCCGUGGGCGCUGGAGAAUUGAGGGGGGCUGCUCCCAGUACGAGAGGACCGGAGUGGACGCAUCACUGGUGUUCGGGUUGUCAUGCCAAUGGCACUGCCCGGUAGCUAAAUGCGGAAGAGAUAAGUGCUGAAAGCAUCUAAGCACGAAACUUGCCCCGAGAUGAGUUCUCCCUGAGACUAUAAGUCUCCUGAAGGAACGUUGAAGACGACGACGUUGAUAGGCCGGGUGUGUAAGCGCAGCGAUGCGUUGAGCUAACCGGUACUAAUGAACCGUGAGGCUUAACCUU